rnacentral:rRNA from 1 species
UAGGGAAUUUUGCGCAAUGGGGGAAACCCUGACGCAGCAACGCCAUGUGUGGGAUGAAGCAUUUCGGUGUGUAAACCACUGUCAGCAGGGAAUAAACAGCUUCUUCGGAGGCGCUUGAAUGUACCUGCAAAGGAAGCCCCGGCUAACUUCGUGCCAGCAGCCGCGGUAAUACGAGGGGGGCAAAUGUUGUUCGGAAUCACUGGGCGUAAAGGGAGCGUAGGCGGGUUUUUAAGUUGGAUGUUUAACCCCGGGGCCCAACCCCGGAUCGGCAUCCAAAACUGGGAAUCUUGAAUAGGGGAGAGGUCAGUGGAAUUGGAGGUGUAGCGGUGGAAUGCGUAGAGAUCUCCAAGAACACCAGUUGCGAAGGCGGCUGACUGGACCCAUAUUGACGCUGAGGCUCGAAAGCAUGGGGAGCAAA